rnacentral:rRNA from 1 species
UGGGGAAUAUUGCACAAUGGGCGCAAGCCUGAUGCAGCCAUGCCGCGUGUAUGAAGAAGGCCUUCGGGUUGUAAAGUACUUUCAGCGGGGAGGAAGGGAGUAAAGUUAAUACCUUUGCUCAUUGACGUUACCCGCAGCAGAAGCACCGGCUAACUCCGUGCCAGCAGCCGCGGUAAUACGGAGGGUGCAAGCGUUAAUCGGAAUUACUGGGCGUAAAGCGCACGCAGGCGGUUUGUUAAGUCAGAUGUGAAAUCCCCGGGCUCAACCUGGGAACUGCAUCUGAUACUGGCAAGCUUGAGUCUCGUAGAGGGGGGUAGAAUUCCAGGUGUAGCGGUGAAAUGCGUAGAGAUCUGGAGGAAUACCGGUGGCGAAGGCGGCCCCCUGGACGAAGACUGACGCUCAGGUGCGAAAGCGUGGGGAGCAAACA